CUUCGUCGAUCUGCUGCGGGCAGAUCCAGUGGAUGUGGCUGUCGAUGCCGCCGGCCGUCAGGAUCAUGCCUUCGCCGGCGAUGAUCUCGGUGCCGGCCCCGAUCGCGAUCGUCACGCCGGGCUGGAUGUCGGGGUUGCCGGCCUUGCCGAUGCCAUUGACGCGGCCGUCCUUGAUCGCGACGUCGGCCUUGACGAUGCCCCAGUGGUCGACGAUCAGCGCGUUGGUGAUCACGGUGUCGGCGACCUCCGCCGCAACCUUCUGCCCCUGCCCCAUGCCAUCGCGGAU
rnacentral:sRNA from 1 species